rnacentral:lncRNA from 1 species
AAACCCUCUCUAGCCAGUCAAGCUGACAACUGAGAUUAACCAUUACAAGUGAUAAGGGCAGAGAAGGGGUCCACAGUCCUCCAGGCGAGAGAUCACAGGAACAACAUUAUCAAUACCCACAUGUGGGAUUUAGUCUGCCUCUUUAUAUUGGGAUUUACGGACUCUGUCUUAUCUUCAUAGCCACAUUGAUGAACUAGGAAAUAUCAUCAGACCACCACCACCACCAUCAUCCUCACCGAUGUCAUCCUCCUUGCAUCUUACAUGGAGAAAACCAAAGAUUGAAAGAAUUGGCCUACAAGGCCCCAAAUGCUUAAUGGUUUGGGGAAUGGAAUGCAAAACAAAUGAAAAAUCAUGGUGCUUUCAUACACACUCAGGAAAUGUGGGGGAGAUUUUUCCUUUGGGGACCUCGAAUGCUGUUCUGUUAAUAGAUGCAGGAUCGACUACCUCCAGGCACCUGCACACAGCUGGAUCCUUGAUUCAGGCUGCAGAUGGAGGCCAUUAACAAGAAAAACACGAAUUCAACACUAAACCGGAACGAGAAGUAGUCUGACUAAAUCUAAGGAGUCAUAUCCUUAGAUGUUUCUGCUUUGUAGAUGCAAACAUGUUGUAAAUACCUGUUGACUUGAAAUAAACAGCAAGCCAUCCACUGCACUCAGACGGAGUGUGAAUCACCACCUUGCACCUCCUAGCAGUGUUAAGAUUGGGACCUUUUCCUCUCAGCUGCUCUAGUAAUUCUUGGGUUCUCUGGCCCAGAAGCACUGCUUUUACCCCAAGACCCUGCAUCCUGCCUGCAUCCUCCCUUUCCAAAUGCACACAGCAAUUGCUCUUCCUUGAAUGGGCUUCCUGCCACAUUGAAAUAAUGAAAAUGCCACUGGUGGAGAAUGAUGUGGUCCUCUAGCACUGGUGGGAGAGUUGGCAGAGGGUGGGUCCUGGUAGGCUUGGGAUUGCUCUGUGAGACAGCAUGGCAUGUGGUAACCACAGAUCUUACCCAGUACCUCUUGCUAGUCCCUCAGGGGCCUGGGGGAUGUUGCAGAUUUGCACCUGAAGCAGCAGGGAAGAGUGAGCACCAUGGAGCUUUGGGGAAAGAGUUGAUGCUGCCUGCAAUAUUCCCCCAAAUGAUGCCCAGCUCUGUGCUUGUUUUUAUUUUCCACUUCAGUUGUAUAUUGAAUUAUAAUAAUGCCUUGUGUUAUGUAGCUAUUUUCACUUGACAAAACAUUGUUGUAUACUAUUGGUUUUAACGCGAAAAAUGAUUGUAAGCCUUCAGAUAAUCUUGUUGUUUUUUCAUGUGUGUAUUUUGUUGGUUUCUUUCUUAUAUAGACCCAAAUUGAAUUUAGCUGAUGACACUCAUUCAGGGACUCCGCACCAAAUUUCACCACAAUCCACAAAACCCACAAAGAUAUUGGACCCAGGUAGGCCCAGAAUGUAAAUAAUCAAUUUUUCCUUGCUGCAAUGAAGAGAAGAG